rnacentral:tRNA from 1 species
AGCCAGCUGACAUAGUGGUUUGAGCACUGGCCUAUGACUCUGGAGACUAGGGUUCGAAUCCCAGCUUGGCCA